ensembl:lncRNA
CAGAAGUUUGCUUCUCUGGUAGGCUGCCUUCCAGGGACAUUUCAACAAACAGUAAAACCAUGAAACAGAGCUAUACUUAAGGAUUCUUAAUUGAGCAAAUCUCCCAUGGAGUGAGUGGGUUGUUUGCUACAUUGAAGCCUGUGGAAUUAGUAACUGAGUAUUUGGUUUUGGACUCAUCUUUGCUCAGUUUAAAGGAAAACAAACACAAGUCAAGUCAAACAGUGAAUUUUUAACUGAUUUUUUUUUUUUUUUAAUGUUUCCAAUGGAUUGCAUGGGAACAAGGAAAUUGUCCUGCUGUAAGGACUUCUCAGACAGCACUGCUUUACGCUAAUGAACUUCCAUUUUUAACUCUAUUUCUUCGGCAUCUACAUGGAGAACAGUGAAGAAGCAGGUGCAACUGGAACAUGGUAUGUUGGGCUCCACCAGAACUGGGCUGCCAGAUCUUCCAGAUCCAUUCUCACCUGUCAGCAGCUCUCAGAUGGACAAUUGGUCUUGGGACACUCAGAGACCCUAGCCCCCUAAUUUGAGGGUGGGAUUAGGUCUUCAUAGCAUAUAGUUAUUACAGUUUGUUGAAUGUUAGAAAGAAACAAAGACAACAGAAUGGGUUGAGGGAAGAGGAACUCAAAUUUAUGUGAUCAAGAUGUCACUAGCUUUAGUAGAACAAAACUUCUGUGCAUGGAUUUUCUCAGUCUGCCUGAAGUGGUUCAUUUUUGUCCUCAACACCAUAAGAAUCAAAGUUUGCCAUUACCGCAAGCAAUCUAGACAACAGGAAGCAGAUAAUGGGACAUUUCUGUCUUCACUAAAGAGGGCUCACAUUAAAUUGCUUGUAGGUCUUUGGAAAGGUCAGUCAAAGCUUAAGCAGCCCCCUGUUGUUUGACAACAUCAGAGCUCAAACACUGCGGUCCUGGAGAACUCUGCUCUUUGAAAAGGGGGAUGUUUAAUUACCUUUUGAAAGCUGGCAGCAGGACAGGAUGCAAGGAUGUUUUCUUUCUUUUGUGUCAGUUGAACAAGUUACUAUUUUGGUACAUGAGAGCGAGUAACCCACUGCACUAGAGGAGACUGUCCCUUCCUCUGACCUGCUGUCAGGAGAAAAGCAAAGACAGGAGGAUAUUAGUGAAGUUCAACCCAAGCUUAAUAGGAAGGUUUACAUUUUGAUUGCCUGUGAACAAAGAUGUACCCUCCACUCCAUUCCAGCUGGAAAUACUUGCACUUUAUUUCUGACACUGUGAACAUGUAAGUAAAGUAUUCUUUUGCCUUGCACACUAACAAUUUUGUGAUGAGCAUGUUUGACAACUAACUGGCUUCUGACCAAAAGUGAAAACAAUGGACACCUAUUUUCAGCUGGGAAAACCACACUCAGUAUGUUCCCUGGCCGAGAUAAAGCACUGAAGCAGCAUGACACAAAGUGCUGCAAGUUCCCUCCAUGGCUUUGCUUUUAUAACAGAGCUGCUGAUCAACGUACCUCUUUUUCUUUCAUACGUUUUCUCUCUUCUAAGGCAUAGAUCAUUGACCAAAAAUUUGUUUUCCCAUAGUCUAGAUUUUUCUUUUGCCAAGUAUCUGCAUGCAUGUUGCUUCUUGAGAACAGGCCUGGAGCUGUGCGGGUUACUGAAGGAGAUGCAUGUUCAUAGACUUACUGGGAAGUCCUAAUGUGAUGAAAAAAUGUUGCCAGCUAGACUGAAGAUGAAAUCUUAGAAAAUGUUUGACGUGUUUGUAGCAUACUGUUGUUAUGUUUAAUAUGUGGAAACUGAUGCAAAAAAAACCUGAUCUCUAGAAAGAUUAACAAUACUUGAAAUGCUAACUGCUCUGAUUGACAGGGGAGCAGUAACUUAUCUUUACAUACACCAGUUGGUAAAAGUGAACAGUCAUUCAACUCUUGCAGACUUGCAUAGCUGUAUUCAAAAUAUACUUUUCAUCAGUGACUAAUAUUGGAAAAGAUUUUUAGAAAGAUAUAUUUGUGGAAUGAAAAUAUGCAUAUAUGUAUUCUAAGUUAGAAUAUUUUACUUUUUUUUUUAACUAUCCUCUGUAAGUGUAGCAGUUUCUACUAAAUGUUGUCCGGGCAGGAUGUGUAAGUACAGAACCAAAACCCCAAAUGAAAGUUGUUCCUGCUCCAAGCACUUUUUGCACUAUUUAUGUGUUCUUGAAUUUAAGUUUCCUUCCUCAGUAGAAUUGUUCUGCUAACAUCUUUUUUUUUCCCCUUUUGCCUUCCCCCCCUCAUUUUGUUAACUGUAACGUGAAGGAGAUGCUUUUAAAUCUUUAAGCCCACAAGCUUUCAGGGAUUAAUAUAUCUGUGAGUUUUUUACUCAGCGCUACACUAGCAUCUUUCUGAUGAAGGAACCAUUUUAGAAGAAAAUGAGCUUUGUUAAGGAGUGUUGUCUGUCUCCCUCUGCUCGCAGCUCCCAGGUAAGAGUUGCCGUGCCUUGCAUCUCUCCUCCCAGCAUUAUUUACUGCAGUGAGAACUUGCUGCUUGUGUAGAUGGAACAAAUGAUCGUGGGAUGGGGUCUGCCCCACAAGGAUGCCAGUCAGGGUCAGAUCUUUAUACUUCUGUGCAAGCCAACACAAGUAUUCCUACUGGGACCAUUUUGCCUGUAAGAGCCAAAGAUUUUAAGGCUAGAUAUGAAUCAUGUUUUCCCAUAUGCAUAGAACAAGCCAUGGAGCAGCACAGUGCAAUUUCUGCAUCAAGCCCAGCGCGACUAUUUGAACCCCAGCACCUUUUCAGAAAGCCAGCUGCAACUUCAAGCUGCAAGUGACAGCAAGUCUACAGCAUCCAUGUAUAAACUUACCCUGGCAUUGGAUUCUGAUCUGAAUUUCUUUAUCCUCAGCUCCAGAAUGUAAGCUGUCCUCAUGCUUCUCUUUUUUCCACAGACUGUUAAACUAAGAAGAUGUUGGAUAAUGGAAAAUUUCUAACUUUUUUUUCCAUCAGUUUAAGCAUUGUCACCCCACCUCAAGUCCCUCCUCCCCCAAUAAUCCAGUUAUUAUAUGUAUAUCUAAUCCAUUAAUUCAUUUCAUUUAUAAGAAAAGAUAAAAACACGAAAAGAUUAAAAUGAAUUGAUGUUCUCUGCCACACCCAGCCCAACACAUGCUCAGUCCAAGUUCUGAUACUAAAUCUUACUUCUCCAUUCAUAGAGUCACAUCAUAGAAUCAAAGAAACAGAGAACUGUUAAGGUUGGAAAAGAACUCUGAGACCAUCAAGUCCAUCCAUCAAUUCAUCACCACCAUGCCCACUAAACCAUGUCCCCAGAUAGAAUCAUAGAAUCAUAGAAUAAUAAUCAUUCUGGAUUACAACAGUUUUCACCUUAUUUUGCAGCUCUUACUGCCAGCUUGCUAUCAGAGAAUAUUGCCUCAUAACUGCAUUUGAGGUGACUUCCAGUUGUGCUACAUGAUCCGAUCCUUACUAUGUAAGCCACCAAUGCAGUCAUGUCUUGUGGGAUUACUGCAAGAUUCAUCCAUGCUUGUAAUGCUAAGAUAAGACAAAGGCCAUCAAAGCAGAAUAUGUUAUUAAUUAGUAAUUAGAUAACUACAAUGAAUUAAAAUGGGUUGGAAGAAGUCUUUCAUUCUGCAUUGAACCCUUCUUUCGAAAUAAAGGGUGGUUUCCUUACAGGGAAAACCAUAAGAAAAAAAUCAAUCAAAAUAAACAUAUGCUAAUUAUACUCCUGGGCCUGCUUACAUGUCAAAACUAUUUUGAAAAUAUUGCUUCAUUGUUGAGGGUUAGUAUAGUUUAACAGCCAGUGGCGGAACAUGUCCUAAGUAGGGAUUUUCCAUUGCAUACAGCAAUUACAGACAAUUGACAUUUGAUUAUAAUAACCAGCAAACUUUCAUGAAAUAAAUGACACCUGAGCAAGUUUCAUAACCUUUUGCCUCGCCCCACCUUGGAAUGCGUCAGCGCUGCUUGAAGGCUAGGAAUGUUUCUUUCGCUUGCAAACAGAAUUAUUUCAAACCAAGGGAGUGCAGAGCUGUCUGGAGACGGGCUCUGAUAGCCAGCCUGUGUACUGUGUCCAGUGGCUUUUAGACCUAUUUACUUAUGUGCUGUUCAGAAUACAUGGCAAGGAACAAAAUGACACAGGGCCUGGACUGUCUUCCACGUCUGUGUAGGGAUUGUAUCCUUGCAUCCAAAAAUGGAUCUAUUUCCUGGGUCGAUUCAACAAUGUCUUGUACUUACACCAGUUCUCUACUUACGUCAGUGAAGGAAGAGGCAAGGUGGUGCUUCCAAGUCAGGCUCAUUUUGCACAGGGAUGCAGGUAUCAUUCCAUUGUUUUUAGUGCCUGCAUUUUGAGCAGCAGCAGACACUGCACAACCACUCAGCUCUCUAACUGUUGGAAAUUUGCUUGCUUAAUGACCAAGUCCAGCUAAAUUACCAAAACUGCACAAAAAGUGGGCCAAGACAGUUAGAUCUGCUGGUGUCUCUGGCUAUGAAUAGUAAUGGGUGAAGACAUGGCACAAAAAAGACACAGCAUUGCUUCCAGCAAGGUUGGUAUAACUGUAUUUCCAUAGAUAGAAAGUUUCCAUUGCAAUCUCAGUCACACACAGUUCCCUCAUGGAAGCAAAGUUGACUUUAUUUGAAGUACAGCAACAAAGAAAAAGACUGAGAAAACAGAUUUGUACUAUCUCGAUGCUAGCUGGAGAAUGAAGCACUGCUACCACACUAUAUGCUGAGAUUUGUUGCCUAGAUUAUUGCUUUUCAGCACCUCCAAAUCUGUUCUUCCCUGCCAUAUAGCCACUGGUCUUCACUAUCAUCUAUUCUCCCUCUGGAUCUAAGGAGGUCACCAUCCCUGGAGGUGUUCAAGAAUUGUUUGGAUAUGGCACUGAAGGACAUGAUUUACCAGACAUGAUGGUGGUGGGUUGAUGGUUGGACUAGAUGAUCUUAUUGGUCUUUUCCAACCUUAAUGAUUCGAUGAUUCAUACCAAAGAGUGUAUCUGGAGCCGAGAAACGUUAGUCUAUCUUGCUUCUCUUCCUUUCCGCUAGGAAGGAACAAACCCUUGCAGUUGCAGCAGUCAAUGUAACUGAUGUGAAUCAGGAUAACAGAGGCAGCAUGGAUAGUGUCUGGAAGAUAUUUCAGAUACUUAACGGCUGCACAGUGCUGAGAACACUUUUACAAUGUAAUAGGACAAUAUUUAUUAGGUGCCUGGCAAUCCCAUUGUUUUGUGCCCACUCUCAGUUUUUGCUAUUUUUUAAGAGACUGUGAAGUUUAUUCAUCUUACAUGUAAUGAAGAGCUUAACUGUUCUGACACCUGAACUUUUGAGAACUCUUAAGAACUCUUAAUUGCUCAGCUUAGAAAAAAGUCUAGGCCCAGCACAGAACAGAUGUAUAGUAAUAAACUUAUCUCAUAAUGUCAAAUGAUUAAACAGUGGAUUUUUUUUUUACAUUUAAAUAUACAAGACUUUCCAUUAAGGGGCUUUGUUGACUCUGAUAACAGUUUCACAACCAUUAAGUUUAUUUCUACAGCUAUUUGUUAAAAGCUAAUAGGGAAAAUAAUAGAAACUAAUUGAAAAGCAAAGCAAACAAAGCAGAGCCGAGAAUGUUUCUGUUAAUAAGCAAUAGAGAUGGUAUUGAUUUCAUUUUAUAAACAACAUUAAUCCUCAAUAACAAUUAAAGUGUAGACAGGUUGCUUGUUUAAGUUAUCAGAUAAGAUGGCCUACUCAGGUAUAUAUCAGGAGUAGUAAUUUGAAAAGGAUAUGAGG